rnacentral:rRNA from 1 species
GACGUAGGGCGCGAGCGUUGUCCGGAUUUAUUGGGCGUAAAGAGCUCGUAGGCGGCUUGUUGCGUCGACUGUGAAAACCCACGGCUCAACUGUGUGGUCUGCAGUCGAUACGGGCAGGCUAGAGUUCGGUAGGGGAGACUGGAAUUCCUGGUGUAGCGGUGAAAUGCGCAGAUAUCAGGAGGAACACCGGUGGCGAAGGCGGGUCUCUGGGCCGAUACUGACGCUGAGGAGCGAAAGGCGUGGGGAGCGAACAGG